rnacentral:rRNA from 1 species
UGAACGCUGGCGGCGUGCUUAACACAUGCAAGUCGCACGAGAACGCUUCAGCUUGCUGAAGUAAGUAAAGUGGCGCACGGGUGAGUAACGCGUGGGUAAUCUACCCUUGAAUUGGGGAUAACAUUGCGAAAGUGAUGCUAAUACCGAAUGAUAUCCUGAGAAUCUUGGUUUUCAGGAUCAAAGGUGGCCUCUACAUGUAAGCUAUUGUUUGGGGAUGAGCCCGCGUACCAUUAGCUUGUUGGUAGGGUAAUGGCCUACCAAGGCUACGAUGGUUAGCUGGUCUGAGAGGAUGAUCAGCCACACUGGAACUGACACACGGUCCAGACUCCUACGGGAGGCAGCAGUGAGGAAUUUUGCGCAAUGGGGGAAACCCUGACGCAGCAACGCCGCGUGAGUGAUGAAGGCUUUCGGGUCGUAAAGCUCUGUCAAGUGGGAAGAAACCACAUGGUGUUAAUACCGCCAUGUGCUGACGGUACCACUGAAGGAAGCACCGGCUAACUCC